GUUUUGGACCAACAAUACAGACAGUUGUUACUGCAACGAGAACCCCUGUGCUACUAUAACAAUGGCGGAUGCGAAGACCUGUGUGUAAAUACGUACGCCGGCCAUUACUGUGCGUGUAGUCUGGGCUAUCAACUGGUGGUCGGGGAAAACGACACAACUUCCUGUGAAUAUGAAAUCACGUGUGUGGCGCUCAACGAAUACAAUCAGUUGCUGUGUAUCUGUGAAGAUCCCAAGUGAAUGGCAGAUAUCCAGUGAAUGGAAUAAGGUGUCAAGACAAGGAUGAGUGUAUCAUGGAGAGUCCGUGUCAAGACCAGUGUACUAAUACCAUUGGAAGCUUCUUCUGUAAUUGUUCGGAUGGAUAUCGUCUCUCAAAUGAUUCCAAGACAUAUAAAUGAGUGUUUGAAUCGGGAAUUGUGUCGGUCUGUGUGUAUCAACAGCCCAGGUGAUUAUUUUUGUUUGGGCAUUGACGGACAAAGUGGCCGCAAAAAGAAAGCGACAGGAAGAACGCGUGGCGACAUCUACAGUGCCUAUCUCGAAGAGCCACACGAGUCUUUUGUAAAUCAUCUUCAGACACUUCGAAUUCAACUGCAAUAUAACAUAAGAGCUCAGCGCACAAAAGACACGCAGAGGCAUUUUCGGCAGUCGAUGAUAUACCUUCUUAUCGCUGUUAUUGCAGUUCUUAUGUCACUGAUCUUUAUGUGCAGACUACACAGGCUUGAAAAAGAAGUCGAGAGAUCACACCUCGGAACAAAAAGUUUAAAGCCUAGCAGUGGCGUUAUUAAAAUUGGUAAAUCGUGUUUAAAAUGAGUUUUAAUGGGAUAACAGCUGUUCGUAUGAGAUCCAUAUUUCGCAAUAAAUAUAUUGUAAACGCUCAUAGAAAUAUAAUAACUUCACCACCGAAACAGCGGCUAUCGCAAUUAUUCUGUAAUUUGUGCCUGUCAUCAGACCACGAGGUCAUUCAUAGAUGGCUAUACCUCCCUA